rnacentral:rRNA from 1 species
GACGAACCGUGCGAACGUUAUUCGGAAUCACUGGGCUUAAAGCGCGUGUAGGCGGGCCGCCACGUCGGGCGCUGAAAUCCCUCGGCUCAACUGAGGAACUGCACGGGAUACUGGAAGACUUGAGUUCGGGAGAGGGAAGCGGAAUUCCGGGUGUAGCGGUGAAAUGCGUAGAUAUCUGGAGGAACACCGGUGGCGAAGGCGGCAUCCUGGACCGAUAUUGACGCUGAUGCGCGAAAGCCAGGGGAGCAAA